UGGGGAAUCUUCCGCAAUGGGCGCAAGCCUGACGGAGCAACGCCGCGUGAGUGAAGAAGGUCUUCGGAUCGUAAAGCUCUGUUGAUGGGGACGAACGUGCCUAAUGCGAAUAGUAUUAGGUAAUGACGGUACCCAUCGAGGAAGCCACGGCUAACUACGUGCCAGCAGCCGCGGUAAUACGUAGGUGGCGAGCGUUGUCCGGAAUCAUUGGGCGUAAAGGGAGCGCAGGCGGGCAUGUAAGUCUUUCUUAAAAGUGCGGGGCUCAACCCCGUGAUGGGAAAGAAACUAUGUGUCUUGAGUACAGGAGAGGAAAGCGGAAUUCCCAGUGUAGCGGAGAAAUGCGUAGAUAUUGGGAGGAACACCAGUGGCGAAGGCGGCUUUCUGGACUGCAACUGACGCUGAGGCUCGAAAGCCAGGGGAGCGAACGGG
rnacentral:rRNA from 1 species